AAUAAGGCGUUCAAGGAUGCAAUUCGGAAGCGUAAAAAAAGACUUGAGGCAUAUGCAAGAGAACUAUCUUCACGUAGCAGACUGACAUUUGUGGUGAAUUCACUGAAUUGUUCUGGAAGCUAACAGUUAUUGGUUGUUAUUCUGGCUAUGUGAAACCAAUCUAUCUGCAUGAGUUCUAUCAUGAUUUUAAACAGCAAAUCGAUGCGUUGCGUAUGAGUUGUAUCGACCAGCUUACUACACAGUCAACACUUCACCAAUUUGGAAUUUGAAACAUUUUGGUGAUAAGAAUUUUAUACCGACGUAUCCCUGCGAUAAAAAGACUCACAAGAAAAACUGUUUUGUUCAGAGUAAGAUUAAUAUAAAAAUUCUUGAUGCUAUGAGAUGGUCUCAUCAAUGUGCAACAAUUGAACUGGAUUUCCAACUUCCUGAGAGAUUCAACCUCACGCUAGCUAUUGUAGGUUCAGUUGAAAAAAUGAUUGCUAUUCUUGCUGAAAG